UGUGUGUGUGUGUAUAUAUAUAUAUACAUACACAAACAUGUAUAUAAAUGUAUAUAUAACCUUAUUGCAGGUUGCUGGCAUAUAUUAUUCACCAUUUCACCGUGGUUUUACUGGAGCUCGCAGCAAGGGCUAGUUCCAACAGAGAGACAUUGGACACAGAGUAUGGAAAAACAUUGUGAAGCUUUCCUGGAGCAGGUCAUCCACAGCAUCUCAGUCUUGCUGGGAUCUCUGAGGUCUCAUACAGUGUUGCCCCUCAACCACUCAUUUUUUGGUGCAUUUCGGAAAAGGUGGAACUUUUUUGUCAUUAUUCAUUACAAGUGGGGAACCUGAGACCUUAAUGGUGAGUCUGCGGCAGGCCCCUGGCAGGGCAGCUGGUGAUGAAAAUGUAGUUGAUAACUUUGUAUAACAUGCAAUAAUUCACAGGUAAUAUUAAGAUUUCCAAGGAAAUAGGUGAUGACUCCAAUUACCU